rnacentral:misc_RNA from 1 species
UGUCACGUUAAUUAUUAUUAUAUUGUUAUUAUUUUUUUUUGUCACGACGUUGUUAAUUUUUUUUUGUUUGUUUUAUUGUUUAUGUUUUGUCUUUGUAUAUUUUUUCUGUGGAAGUACCACGCACGACCUCACAGAAGAUCCCAACUAAAUAAUACUGCUUUCAAGCAGUGUGGUGUCCCUGUUGGUGAGUAAGGUGACCAGAGGAAUCUAUAAGCUACGGUAAUUACUUACCAUCAGGUA